rnacentral:rRNA from 1 species
UUACUGGGCGUAAAGCGCGCGUAGGCGGAUUGGAAAGUUGGGGGUGAAAUCCCGGGGCUCAACCUCGGAACUGCCUCCAAAACUCCCAGUCUUGAGUUCGAGAGAGGUGAGUGGAACUCCGAGUGUAGAGGUGAAAUUCGUAGAUAUUCGGUGGAACACCAGUGGCGAAGGCGACUGACUGGACUAUKUACUGACGCUGAGGUGCGAAAGUGUGGGGAGCAAACAGGAUUAGAUACCCUGGUAGUCCACACCGUAAACGAUGAAUGCUAGUUGUCUGCAUGCAUGCAUGUAGGUGACGCAGCUAACGCAUUAAGCAUUCCGCCUGGGGAGUACGGCCGCAAGGUUAAAACUCAAAGAAAUUGACGGGGGCCCGCACAAGCGGUGGAGCAUGUGGUUUAAUUCGAAGCAACGCGCAGAACCUUACCUACCCUUGACAUGCCUGGACGUGACCAGAGAUGGGAUCAUUCCUUCGGGACCAGUGCACAGGUGCUGCAUGGCUGUCGUCAGCUCGUGUCGUGAGAUGUUGGGUUAAGUCCCGCAACGAGCGCAACCCUCACCCUUAGUUGCCAGCAGGUUAGGCUGGGCACUCUAAGGGAACUGCCGGUGGCAAACCGGAGGAAGGUGGGGAUGACGUCAAGUCCUCAUGGCCCUUACGGGUAGGGCUACACACGUGAUACAAUGGCAGUGACAAUGGGAUAAUCCCCAAAAACUGUCUCAGUUCGGAUUGUCGUCUGCAACUCGACGGCAUGAAGUUGGAAUCGCUAGUAAUCGUGGAUCAGCAUGCCACGGUGAAUACGUUCCCGGGCCUUGUACACACCGCCCGUCACAUCAUGGGAGUUGGGUCUACCCGAAGACUGUGCGCUAACUUCGGAGGCGGCAGGCCACGGUAGGAUCAAAAGACUGGGAUGAAGUUUGA